GUUUUGAACGCCCCCUAUAUAAGGGGAAAUUGUCCAAUUUUAAUAAAAAGUAUGUCAAAUGAAAGAUGUACUUAUAAUGUAUUUAGAAAAAAAAAAUUUGUGCUGAUAUAUACAUUUUUCAAAAAGUUAUAGCAUUUUUAAGUUGAAAAUUUAAAAUCGAAAAUCGAAAAUUUUAACACAAAAAUAGUGUUUUUUUAACUACGGCAGCCGUUUAAAUGUAGAAAAAAAAUUGUCGGGACAAAUUUUUUUUUUUUCAUUUUAUAGUACAUAAAAUAAGCUUUAAUUUGAUAUAUGUUUGAAGGACGCAGUAUUUCCGGAACAUUUUCAAAAGUUCAGUUGAAAAAGAUCUAUGUUUUUUACAAUAUUUUAAGUUUUGAACGCCCCCUAUAUAAGGGGAAAUUGUCCAAUUUUAAUAAAAAGACGCAGUCUUUCCGGAACAUUUUCAAAAAUUAAGUUGAAAAAAUUAAUUUUUGUAAAAAAGUUGCCAUUUUAAAUCCCCCCCAAUGAGCAGGUUAAGUGAUAGAUUUUCAAAAAAAUGAUAUCAAAUGAAAGGUAAAUAUCUAAGGUUUUAGUAUAAAAAAAAAUUAUGUUGAUUUGUUGAUUUUUCAAAAAGUUAUGGAAGUUUUAAGAAAAAAAAGUGAAAAAAUUUCGAAAAUUAGCGAUUUUUAAAUUUGUAAUUUUUUUGGAUAUUUCCCCCAUUUGCGGGGAACGAGGGAAUUUUUUUCAAUUUUUAAGGGUAAUGUCUUCAACUAGAUACGAUUUGUGAUCUUUUGACGUAUUUUUGAAAGAAAUCGGUCCAGUGAGAGCUGAGAAAAAGUGGCAACAGACAUAAAAAAAAAAAAAACACAUCAUAGUAAAAUUAAUACCUUCUCCGCUU